rnacentral:rRNA from 1 species
CGUGUAGGCGGCUUGGUAAGUCAGAUGUGAAAGCCCUGGGCUCAACCCAGGAAGUGCAUUUGAAACUACUAGACUUGAGUACGGGAGAGGAGGGGGAAUUCCCGGUGUAGAGGUGAAAUUCGUAGAUAUCGGGAGGAAUACCGGUGGCGAAGGCGCCUCUCUGGACCGAUACUGACGCUGAGACGCGAAAGCGUGGGGAGCAAACA